rnacentral:rRNA from 1 species
GAUCCCAUCCCGAACUCGGCCGUGAAACCCGUCCGCGCCAAUGGUACUACUGCCUAAGCAGUGGAAGAGUAGGUCGCCGCCAGGC